rnacentral:rRNA from 1 species
UGGGGAAUAUUGCACAAUGGGGGAAACCCUGAUGCAGCGACGCCGCGUGAGCGAAGAAGGCUUUCGAGUCGUAAAGCUCUGUCCUAUGAGAAGAUAAUGACGGUAUCAUAGGAGGAAGCCCUGGCUAAAUACGUGCCAGCAGCCGCGGUAAUACGUAUGGGGCGAGCGUUGUCCGGAAUUAUUGGGCGUAAAGGGUACGUAGGUGGUUUUUUAAGUCAGGUGUCAAAGCGUGGAGCUUAACUCCAUUAAGCACUUGAAACUGAAAGACUUGAGUGAAGGAGAGGAAAGUGGAAUUCCUAGUGUAGCGGUGAAAUGCGUAGAUAUUAGGAGGAAUACCGGUGGCGAAGGCGACUUGCUGGACUUCAACUGACGCUGAGGAACGAAAGCGUGGGUAGCAAACAGG